UCAUACGGGGUCCGCUGGCCGGGGAAAGACGUGGGGUGGCAGGUGUAGACGGAAUGACAGUGCAUCAAGUGUGCGCCGGCGGUUUUGGAAGACAGAGGUGGAAUCCCCGGGCUCAACCGUGGAACUGCCUUUGUAACUGCAAGGCUAGAGUACGGAAGAGGGGGACGGAAUUCCGCGUGUAGCAGUGAAAUGCGUAGAUAUGCGGAGGAACACCGAUGGCGAAGGCAAUCCCCUGGGCCUGUACUGACGCUCAUGCACGAAAGCGUGGGGAGCAAACAGGAUUAGAUACCCCUGUAGUC
rnacentral:rRNA from 1 species